rnacentral:rRNA from 1 species
AUUGAACGCUGGCGGCAGGCCUAACACAUGCAAGUCGAACGGUAACAGGAAGCAGCUUGCUGCUUUGCUGACGAGUGGCGGACGGGUGAGUAAUGUCUGGGAAACUGCCUGAUGGAGGGGGAUAACUACUGGAAACGGUAGCUAAUACCGCAUAACGUCGCAAGACCAAAGAGGGGGACCUUCGGGCCUCUUGCCAUCGGAUGUGCCCAGAUGGGAUUAGCUAGUAGGUGGGGUAACGGCUCACCUAGGCGACGAUCCCUAGCUGGUCUGAGAGGAUGACCAGCCACACUGGAACUGAGACACGGUCCAGACUCCUACGGGAGGCAGCAGUGGGGAAUAUUGCACAAUGGGCGCAAGCCUGAUGCAGCCAUGCCGCGUGUAUGAAGAAGGCCUUCGGGUUGUAAAGUACUUUCAGCGGGGAGGAAGGGAGUAAAGUUAAUACCUUU